rnacentral:rRNA from 1 species
GACGAACGCUGGCGGCGUGCCUAAUACAUGCAAGUUGAGCGCUGAAGGUUGGUACUUGUACCAACUGGAUGAGCAGCGAACGGGUGAGUAACGCGUGGGGAAUCUGCCUUUGAGCGGGGGACAACAUUUGGAAACGAAUGCUAAUACCGCAUAAAAACUUUAAACACAAGUUUUAAGUUUGAAAGAUGCAAUUGCAUCACUCAAAGAUGAUCCCGCGUUGUAUUAGCUAGUUGGUGAGGUAAAGGCUCACCAAGGCGAUGAUACAUAGCCGACCUGAGAGGGUGAUCGGCCACAUUGGGAAUGAGACACGGCCCAAACUCCUACGGGAGGCAGCAGUAGGGAAUCUUCGGCAAUGGACGAAAGUCUGACCGAGCAACGCCGCGGGAGUGAAGAAGGUUUUCGGAUCGUAAAACUCUGUUGGUAGAGAAGAACGUUGGUGAGAGUGGAAAGCUCAUCAAGUGACGGUAACUACCCAGAAAGGGACGGCUAACUACGUG